rnacentral:rRNA from 1 species
UACGAAGGGGGCUAGCGUUGCUCGGAUUGACUGGGCGUAAAGGGCGCGUAGGCGGUUCGUACAGUCAGACGUGAAAUUCCUGGGCUCAACCUGGGGGCUGCGUUUGAUACGUGCGGACUUGAGUGCGGAAGAGGGUCGUGGAAUUCCCAGUGUAGAGGUGAAAUUCGUAGAUAUUCGGAAGAACACCAGUGGCGAAGGCGACUUACUGGACGAUUGUUGACGCUGAGGUGCGAAAGCGUGGGGAGCAAACAGG